UCGGUCAUGCAGCACCAG
rnacentral:misc_RNA from 1 species